rnacentral:rRNA from 1 species
CAGCAGCCGCGGGAAUACGGAGGGGGCUAGCGUUGUUCGGAAUUACUGGGCGUAAAGCGCACGUAGGCGGCUUUGUAAGUUAGAGGUGAAAGCCCGGAGCUCAACUCCGGAAUUGCCUUUAAGACUGCAGAGCUAGCAGGUGAGAGAGGUGAGUGGAAUUCCGAGUGUAGAGGUGAAAUUCGUAGAUAUUCGGAAGAACACCAGUGGCGAAGGCGGCUCACUGGCUCAUACUGGACGCUGAGGUGCGAAAGCGAGGGGAGCAAACAGGAUUAGAUACCCCCGUAGUCCCUGUCUCUUAUAC